CCGGAGGGGCUACUCGCUUUUCCUUUCUCUUUCGCCCCCACUUGCGCUACUGCUUUCUCUCUCUCUCGCUCUCCUGUGCUUGCUCCCGCUCCGCGCUUACAGGAGUCCACCUGUAUAUUGAUUACAGGGCGGCGUGUACCUGUAUAAAGGGAAGCCGGGUUUUCUCGUUGGAUUAUUUCCUCCCGAGCUUCUGGUGCGAUACAGCGGUAGACGCUGGCUUGUUGGUUAAAUUACUGAGGCGAUCAGGUCAUGUGAUUGCUACAGCCGUGGUGAGGAGACGCGUGAGUGCAUCCGCCGUGCAGUACAGUGCCUCCAAGUUCUGGGGGUUUGAUUGCUGCCGUGCCCUCUCGG